AACGAACGCUGGCGGCAGGCCUAACACAUGCAAGUCGAACGCUCUAGCAAUAGGGAGUGGCGCACGGGUGAGUAACGCGUAGGAAUCUACCCAUUAGCCUGGGAUAACAGCGGGAAACUGCUGCUAAUACCGGAUACGCUCCUUCGGGAGGAAAGGUUUACUACUAAUGGAUGAGCCUGCGUUAGAUUAGCUAGUUGGUGAGGUAAUGGCUCACCAAGGCUCCGAUCUAUAGCCGGUCUGAGAGGACGAUCGGCCACACUGGGACUGAGACACGGCCCAGACUCCUACGGGAGGCAGCAGUGGGGAAUAUUGGGCAAUGGGCGCAAGCCUGACCCAGCCAUGCCGCGUGAGUGAUGAAGGCCUUAGGGUUGUAAAGCUCUUUUAGUAGUGAAGAUGAUGACAGUAGCUACAGAAAAAGCCCCGGCUAACUUCGUGCCAGCCGCCGCCAUAAGAC
rnacentral:rRNA from 1 species